AUUGAACGCUGGCGGCAGGCUUAACACAUGCAAGUCGAGCGGAUGAAGGGAGCUUGCUCCUGGAUUCAGCGGCGGACGGGUGAGUAAUGCCUAGGAAUCUGCCUGGUAGUGGGGGAUAACGUCCGGAAACGGGCGCUAAUACCGCAUACGUCCUGAGGGAGAAAGUGGGGGAUCUUCGGACCUCACGCUAUCAGAUGAGCCUAGGUCGGAUUAGCUAGUUGGUGGGGUAAAGGCCUACCAAGGCGACGAUCCGUAACUGGUCUGAGAGGAUGAUCAGUCACACUGGAACUGAGACACGGUCCAGACUCCUACGGGAGGCAGCAGUGGGGAAUAUUGGACAAAGGGCGAAAGCCUGAUCCAGCCAUGCCGCGUGUGUGAAGAAGGUCUUCGGAUUGUAAAGCACUUUAAGUUGGGAGGAAGGGCAGUAAGUUAAUACCUUGCUGUUUUGACGUUACCAACAGAAUAAGCACCGGCUAACUUCGUG
rnacentral:rRNA from 1 species